rnacentral:rRNA from 1 species
GAUGAACGCUGGCGGCGUGCCUAAUACAUGCAAGUCGAGCGAACAGACGAGGAGCUUACUCCUCUGACGUUAGCGGCGGACGGGUGAGUAACACGUGGAUAACCUACCUAUAAGACUGGGAUAACUUCGGGAAACCGGAGCUAAUACCGGAUAACAUGUUGAACCGCAUGGUUCAACAGUGAAAGACGGUCUUGCUGUCACUUAUAGAUGGAUCCGCGUCGCAUUAGCUAGUUGGUAAGGUAACGGCUUACCAAGGCAACGAUGCGUAGCCGACCUGAGAGAGUGAUAGGCCACCCUGGAACUGAGACACGGUCCAGACUCCUACGGGAGGCAGCAGUAGGGAAUCUUCCGCAAUGGGCGAAAGCCUGACGGAGCAACGCCGCGUGAGUGAAGAAGGUCUUCGGAUCGUAAAACUCUGUUAUUAGGGAAGAACAAAUGUGUAAGUAACUAUGCACGUCUUGACGGUACCUAAUCAGAAAGCCACGGCUAACUACGUG